AUUGAACGCUGGCGGCAGGCCUAACACAUGCAAGUCGAGCGGAUGAAGGGAGCUUGCUCCUGGAUUCAGCGGCGGACGGGUGAGUAAUGCCUAGGAAUCUGCCUGGUAGUGGGGGAUAACGUCCGGAAACGGGCGCUAAUACCGCAUACGUCCUGAGGGAGAAAGUGGGGGAUCUUCGGACCUCACGCUAUCAGAUGAGCCUAGGUCGGAUUAGCUAGUUGGUGGGGUAAAGGCCUACCAAGGCGACGAUCCGUAACUGGUCGGAGAGGAUGAUCAGUCACACUGGAACUGAGACACGGUCCAGAGUCCUACGGGAGGCAGCAGUGGGGAAUAUUGGACAAUAGGGGAAAGCCUGAUCCAGCCAUGCCGCGUGUGUGAAGAAGGUCUUCGGAUUGUAAAGCACUUUAAGUUGGGAGGAAGGGCAGUAAGUUAAUACCUUGCUGUUUUGACGUUACCAACAGAAUAAGCACCGGCUAACUUCGUG
rnacentral:rRNA from 1 species